rnacentral:rRNA from 1 species
AAGUGUUUUCCGCUUCGGACCAAGCCUAAGUCCCCUGGAAAGGGGCAUCAUAGAGGGUGAUAAUCCCGUACAUGGCUUGGAGCGCCCGAGGCUUUGUGAUACGCUUUCUAAGAGUCGAGUUGUUUGGGAAUGCAGCUCAAAAUGGGUGGUAAAUGCCAUCUAAGGCUAAAUAUUGGGGAGAGACCGAUAGCGAACAAGUACAGUGAUGGAAAGAUGAAAAGAACUUUGAAAAGAGAGUUAAACAGUACGUGAAAUUGCCAAAAGGGAAGGGUAGGAGGUCAGAGAUGCGGCCUGGGAUUCAGCCUUGCUUUUGCUUGGUGUUUUUCCCAGAUUGCAGGCCAACGUCGGUUUUGGGCACUGGAGAAGGGUAGGAGGAACGUGGCACCCCUCGGGGUGUGUUAUAGCCUCCUACUGGAUACAGCGACCGAGACCGAGGACAGCAGCGUACUCGCAAGAGCGGGCCUUCGGGCACCUUUACGCUUAGGGCGUUGGCAUAAUGGCCCUCUACCACCCGUCU